AUUGAACGCCGGCGGCAUGCCUUACACAUGCAAGUCGAACGGCAGCAUGAUCUAGCUUGCUAGAUUGAUGGCGAGUGGCGAACGGGUGAGUAAUACAUCGGAACGUGCCCUGUAGUGGGGGAUAACUAGUCGAAAGAUUAGCUAAUACCGCAUACGACCUGAGGGUGAAAGUGGGGGACCGCAAGGCCUCAUGCUAUAGGAGCGGCCGAUGUCUGAUUAGCUAGUUGGUGAGGUAAAGGCUCACCAAGGCGACGAUCAGUAGCUGGUCUGAGAGGACGAUCAGCCACACUGGGACUGAGACACGGCCCAGACUCCUACGGGAGGCAGCAGUGGGGAAUUUUGGACAAUGGGGGCAACCCUGAUCCAGCAAUGCCGCGUGUGUGAAGAAGGCCUUCGGGUUGUAAAGCACUUUUGUCCGGAAAGAAAUCGCACUUACUAAUAUUAGGUGUGGAUGACGGUACCGGAAGAAUAAGGACCGGCUAACUACGUGCCAGCAGCCGCGGUAAUACGUAGGGUCCAAGCGUUAAUCGGAAUUACUGGGCGUAAAGCGUGCGCAGGCGGUUGUGCAAGACCGAUGUGAAAUCCCCGGGCUUAACCUGGGAAUUGCAUUGGUGACUGCACGGCUAGAGUGUGUCAGAGGGGGGUAGAAUUCCACGUGUAGCAGUGAAAUGCGUAGAGAUGUGGAGGAAUACCGAUGGCGAAGGCAGCCCCCUGGGAUAACACUGACGCUCAUGCACGAAAGCGUGGGGAGCAAACAGGAUUAGAUACCCUGGUAGUCCACGCCCUAAACGAUGUCAACUAGUUGUUGGGGAUUCAUUUCCUUAGUAACGUAGCUAACGCGUGAAGUUGACCGCCUGGGGAGUACGGUCGCAAGAUUAAAACUCAAAGGAAUUGACGGGGACCCGCACAAGCGGUGGAUGAUGUGGAUUAAUUCGAUGCAACGCGAAAAACCUUACCUACCCUUGACAUGCCACUAACGAAGCAGAGAUGCAUUAGGUGCUCGAAAGAGAAAGUGGACACAGGUGCUGCAUGGCUGUCGUCAGCUCGUGUCGUGAGAUGUUGGGUUAAGUCCCGCAACGAGCGCAACCCUUGUCUCUAGUUGCUACGAAAGGGCACUCUAGAGAGACUGCCGGUGACAAACCGGAGGAAGGUGGGGAUGACGUCAAGUCCUCAUGGCCCUUAUGGGUAGGGCUUCACACGUCAUACAAUGGUGCAUACAGAGGGUUGCCAAGCCGCGAGGUGGAGCUAAUCCCAGAAAAUGCAUCGUAGUCCGGAUCGUAGUCUGCAACUCGACUACGUGAAGCUGGAAUCGCUAGUAAUCGCGGAUCAGCAUGCCGCGGUGAAUAAGGUCCCGGGUCU
rnacentral:rRNA from 1 species